CGGACGGGUGAGUAACACGUGGGCAACCUACCUUGUAGAUUGGGAUAACUCCGGGAAACCGGGGCUAAUACCGAAUAAUCCAUUUUGCUUCAUGGCGAGAUGUUGAAAGACGGUUUCGGCUGUCACUACAAGAUGGGCCCGCGGCGCAUUAGCUAGUUGGUAGGGUAAUGGCCUACCAAGGCGACGAUGCGUAGCCGACCUGAGAGGGUGAUCGGCCACACUGGGACUGAGACACGGCCCAGACUCUUACGGGAGGCAGCAGUAGGGAAUCUUCCACAAUGGACGAAAGUCUGAUGGAGCAACGCCGCGUGAGUGAAGAAGGUUUUCGGAUCGUAAAACUCUGUUGUAAGGGAAGAACACGUACGAGAGUAACUGCUCGUACCUUGACGGUACCUUAUUAGAAAGCCACGGCUAACUACGUG
rnacentral:rRNA from 1 species